UACGUAGGGUGCAAGCGUUGUCCGGAAUUAUUGGGCGUAAAGAGCUCGUAGGCGGUUUGUCGCGUCUGCUGUGAAAACUCGGGGCUUAACCCCGGGCCUGCAGUGGGUACGGGCAGACUAGAGUGCGGUAGGGGAGACUGGAAUUCCUGGUGUAGCGGUGAAAUGCGCAGAUAUCAGGAGGAACACCGGUGGCGAAGGCAGCUCGCUGGGACGGUACUGACGCUGAGGCGCGAAAGCGUGGGGAGCAAACAGG
rnacentral:rRNA from 1 species